rfam:Brassica oleracea var. oleracea cultivar TO1000 chromosome C6, whole genome shotgun sequence
AUUGUGUUGUUUAGCCAAGGAUGACUUGCCGGCAGCUUUGAGUUUAAACUCUUAGCAUUCAAUAUUAUAUAGUUGUAGCUACUUUGUAUAAUCAACGUGAAAAUUAUUUUGCUACUUUGUAUAAUCAACAUGAAAGUAUUUUCUUGUGUAUAUGUGUUUUAGUGGGAUGUUACAAAGCUAGCCCGGCAAGUCAUUUGUGGUUAUGCAACUGCCACUUU